ACAAUCAUAAGCUGGCCAUAUUGGCCGUGA
rnacentral:sRNA from 1 species